GAUGAACGCUGGCGGCGUGCCUAAUACAUGCAAGUCGAGCGAACAGACGAGGAGCUUGCUCCUCUGACGUUAGCCGCGGGCGGGUGAGUAACACGUGGAUAACCUACCUAUAAUACUGAUAUAACUUCGGGAAACCGGAGCUAAUACCGGAUAAUAUAUUGAACCGCAUGGUUCAAUAGUGAAAGACGGUUUUGCGGUCACUUAUAGAUGGAUCCGCGCCGCAUUAGCUAGUUGGUCAGGUAACGGCCUACCAAGGGAACGAUGCGUAGCCGAACUGAGAGGGUGGUCGGCCACACGGGAACGGAGACACGGACCAGAGUCCUGAGGGAGGCAGCAGUAGGGAAUCUGACGCAAUGGGCGAAAGUCUGACGGAGUAACGCCGAGUGAGUUACGAAGGCCUUCGGAUCGUAAAACUCUGUUAUUAGGUAAGAACAAAUGUGUAAGGAACUAUGGACGUAUUGACGGUAACUAAUCAGAAAGCAACGGCUAACUACGUG
rnacentral:rRNA from 1 species